rnacentral:misc_RNA from 1 species
GAAAUGCGAUAAUUAAUGUGAAUUGCAGAAUUCAGUGAAUCAUCGAGUCUUUGAACGCACAUUGCGCCCCCUGGUAUUCCGGGGGGCAUGCCUGUCCGAGCGUCAUUGCUGCCCUCAAGCACGGCUUGUGUGUUGGGCUUCCGUCCCUGGCAACGGGGACGGGCCCAAAAGGCAGUGGCGGCACCAUGUCUGGUCCUCGAGCGUAUGGGGCUUUGUCACCCGCUCCCGUAGGUCCAGCUGGCAGCUAGCCUCGCAACCAAUCUUUUUAACCAGGUUGACCUCGGAUCAGGUAGAGAUACCCGCUGGACUUAGGC